rnacentral:rRNA from 1 species
GACGAACGCUGGCGGCGUGCCUAAUACAUGCAAGUCGAACGCAGUGGGGACGGGUGAGUAACACGUGGGUAACCUCCCAUCAGAGGGGAUAACACUGGGAAUAAGGGGUUAAACCGAUACUGAUGGAUGGACCGGCGGUGCAUGGGCGAGUUGGUGAGGGAACGGCUGACCAAGGCCACGCUGCAUAGCCGACCGGAGAGGUUGACCGGCCACACUGGGACUGAGACACGGCCCAGACUCCUACGGGAGGCAGCAGUAGGGAAUCUUCGGCAAUGGACGAAAGUCUGACCGAGCAACGCCGCGUGAGUGAAGAAGGUUUUCGGAUCGUAAAACUCUGUUGUUAGAGAAGCGGUAUCUAACCAGAAAGCCACGGCUAACUACGUGCCAGCAGCCGCGGUAAUAC